AAGUCACUUUCCUUCUAUCCAUAAAUCUUCCACCAUGUGGCUGUGCUGGAGUCUCUCUGAGCCUACUCUGGCUUGGAAGACUGCCUGAUUUGCUAAUCAUUCUUUGCUCAAAUUAAACUCUGUUAAAUUUAGUUAGUCCAGGGUUUUUUUUUUGUUUGUUUUUUUAAAAUCAAAUCUUCAGUGACUCUUUAUGGUGGUCAAUUAUGGCCAGGAUGGAUAGGAGACUACCAUGCAGAAAAGUAUGAGAGAGACUUGAAAACCAUGCAGUGAUCUUUAAAACCCUCUGAAUAUGUAUUUUCAAAUGCUGCUUUCAUAAGUCAUUAACCAUAAUUUAUUGAAUGUGUACUAUGUGUAUGGCAUUGUACUAGAUCCUUUAUAAACCAUAUAGAAUUUUUAUAGUAACCUUGAAAAGUAUGUGUUAUUAUAUCCACUGUACAUAUUGGGGGGACUGGAGGCUUAGAAAGUGGAAGUCGAGGCUUGCACACACUUAUUAUGAAAGGCCAGCUGGCAUGAUAGUGGUUCACCCUGAACAGCAGAUGGAACUGAUAACAGGCCCAUUAAAUUAUGGGCCAAAUAGUUUGCAACCUUAAGAAAUCCCUGUGAAAUGUUCAUAGAAUAUUAACUUCUUAUCUUAUCAAAGAAAAUUUUAACCCAUUGAAAUAUAAGAUUUGUGUUAGGGUCUGAAUGGCCAACCAUUUUUUUUUUUCUGUAUGUGUUUGAGAAUAAUGUGUUUUGCAAUUUUUACAUGCAGUAUUUUAUAUAAGCUUAUGGUACAGCUUGUUUAUUGUAUAAUUUAAAACUUCCUUGUCCUUACUAACUUUUGUCUGUUUAUUCUAUUGCUAAAAGUGGUAUAGUAAAUACACUACAAUAAUGCAUUUGUCAAUUUAUCUUUAGUUAUGUCACUUUCUGCUUCAUAUAUUUUGAGACCAUGUUAUUAGGUACAUAAAAUAUAAUAAUUAUAUUUUUUUCUGGCAAACUGAAGCUUAUUAUAAAUGACCCUCUUUGUUGCGAGUAAUGCCUUUUGCAUUUACAACUGAUGGAGACAGGACGCAGCCAAAAGUCCCUGGUGAAACCCCGCCUUCAAGCCUAAAACAGCCUGAAGGAUGAAAAACCAGACUUCUGGUGCCUGAUGAAGCCUGCCCUUUCCUGACUGAUUCUAAAUAAUGCCUACCUGCCAACUGGGAAGGCAGGGUGGAGCCUUCGGAAAUUCAUGACCUUCGCAGGGGAGAGGAGCUUGGCCUCUCCUAUUCCUGUGUGGUGACCUGGGAUUCAAACUGUGAGGCGGAAAACCUGCUAGCAGGAGUCUCGCUUUGCUGAGAGUUAUUUUUCUUUUCCUUUUUAUCCAAUAAAUUCCGUCUUCUCACGCUUCUAUGUGUCUGUGACCCUACUCUUUCCUGGUCGUGUGACAAGAGCCUGGUUUUAGCUGACCUAAGAAGAAAGUUCUGCAACAUUUUUGGUGUCCAGACGUGAGUCUUGAGGAAGGACAAGUACAGACAAUCACCAGGAACUAAGGAACAAGAAGCAUCCAACCCUGCAUCUGUGGGUUUCCUGAGGUGACUCUCAAUUGUCAUAGGGGUGAAGAGUGAGUGAGGAAACCCUUGGAGCACUUGUUUGCUUCACAGACAUCCUGACCUCCUUUCAACUGUAAAGACUUAGUCAGAGGACGGCGGCUCCCUCAGCCUCAUUCUGCAGUUCCAAUGACACUUUUUACAAAGGCUCUGUACUUGUCUGAUUCUUAAAUAUUCCAGUUUUUGAACUUUGCUGCAGUAGUUGUAUUCGAAAUGGGUUAAUUGUCUCAUUUUCUUUUUAAUGCCUACUCUUUCAAGGCUCAAAUCUUGAAUAGGUCAAAAAGAGCAAGAGGAAAAUGUCAGAGAAUGGAGAAAGGCAAAUACAGAGAAGCAGUGUGAACAUCCACCCGGCGAGGUGACCUGAUGGUGCUGCUCCAUGUCAGAGACAGUAGUGUCUGGGAAGAGGGAGCCCUUUCCACAGGGUGGAGCAAAAGGCCUGGAGCUGACACCUGGCUCCUGGGCCCACUCGCCCACCACCUCGAGCAACUCCCUUCCUUAACGUCUGCCCGAGUGUUAAGGGCUGAGCACAUGACCUCACAGGAGGAUGUGAGGGGCAGCGGUAACAUGUGUCUAGCACUUUGUCCCUUAUAAGUCACUCACAAAUACUUAUAUCCUUAUUAUCUUCAUCCUUUUCUCUUGAGUUUUUCUCUAAUUCUUUAAGAAGGAAACACGUAGCCAGGAAGUGGAGAGCCUCUCACAUACUUGGGGAGUUUUCAUAUUUCCCCCAUCAGUUCCUUUUCUGGCCUGAGCUCAUGCUCCCUAAGAUCAGGGCUUGGGCUUUGUUUUAGUCUGUGUUGUUAUAAAAGAAUAUCCAACAGUGUGUAAUUUAUAAAGAAAAGAGGUUGACUUGGCUCAUGGUUCUGCAGGCUGUACAGGAACAAGCUUGGCUCCAGCAUCUGCUUGGCUUCUAGGGAGGCCUCAGGAAGCCUUUACUCAUGGGGGAAGGCAAAGGGGAGCAGGCAUUAUGUGAGAGGAAGGAAGAGAGAGGCAGGGGAGGUGCCAGGCCCUUUUAAACAAUCAGCGCCCAUGGGAAAUAACAGAGCCAGAACUCACUCAUUAACUUCAGAAUGGCACCAAGCCAGUCAUAAGGAUCCACCUCCAUGACCCAGACACCUGCCACCAGGCCACGCCCAGUAUCAGGGAUCACAUUUUAACGUGAGACUCGGAGGGGACAAACAUCCAAAUCACAUCUGGCCCCAUAACCUUUGGAGACCUCAGCUCUGGCGCUAGGGUGGGUUUCACAGAGCCAAGCAGAAAAGGAGCACAGGUGACCUUGGCAGGAAGGCAUGCAUGGGAGAGCAGGUCUGCACUCUGGGACACCAGCCUCAACAGAAUACGAGUUUUGAAUUUUUGAAUUGCUGUUAAAACUUUCAUCAUGAACACUGAAUUCUCAGGUCCCUGGACCAUGAAGGGCCACAUCCAAGGAGCUACCCCAGGAGGCCUCUCAUUUGCAUUUGUCCCCGCUAAUGCAGGACAGAGAUCAUGGAAGUUGGGCCCGACUGGAUGAGAUUUGGGGGUCUUUGGAAGUGGAGAAUGUGUUUGCCCUGGGGAAGAGAGGUGAUGUCUAGGAGACCUCUUCACUCAGGGCAAGCUCUAUGACCUGCUUUGACUCCAGAAUGUGGUAGAAGUGGCAUCACAUAAAUUGCAGAGCCUAGGCUUCAAGAGACCUUGCAACUUGCCUCUCACUGACUUGAAGUGCUCCCAUCAGAGCAUCUUGUAAGGAGCAGGUGGAGCAUGUGGACAAGCCAUCCCCACCAGCCCCUGAGACAUGUGAGAGAGGCCAGAACAGGCCAUCCGGACCCCACUGUGCUGGUGGAUGAGACAGCAGAAGGAAUAUCAACCUACCAACAGAAUCCUGAGAAAUGCUCACUCUUACUUCAAGCUGCUGCAUUUUGAUGUUAUGAAACCAUAAAUAACUUAUGAAGUCAUCUUUGCUGACUUAAAGUUUUCCAUAACUUUAUUAUAACAUAUCAAAAUUAUGAAAAAUGUGAAAAGUAGAAAACUGAUGAAUUUUGCUUCUUCAUAUGGUCUUUAAGAAUCUCAAAGGCACUGAAGUUUUUUAUCUUUUCUGUCUUAGAAUAAAAAACCUUGAAUGAAAAUCUGCUUCUUGGAAAAGCAGCAAGGUUUAUGCAGAGGCAAUCUGGUAUUUGUGUGCACUGGCAGCUGAUCAUACCCAGCAUGCACGCACUCUCAGGGCAGAGUCUGAUGCCCCACAUAAUGGGGCAUGGUAAGGACUCCCAUGUCCUUGAGAUAAAAUGAUAAGGAAAAUACACACUGCUAUUAGAAUAACAGGCCCAGCUUCUGCACAUUUUAAUUCCCAAAGUUUUCAUGAAAGACAAUGAUUUUUUGGUACCAUGUUUAACUCUACAAGAAUCAGUAGUGAAAACUAAAAAUGAUACUUUGUGAAAGUUCAUUAAUUUUGUUUUCAGCCAGUGGUGGCCUUGGUCAGAUAGAAUCAAAUCUAUGAUACUUUUUAUCAGAAAUGCUUAUACUGUGUACAAACCCAAAGUGAUGGCUUUCAAAGAUUGAAUUUGAUUAUUUUCUGUAUGGUGCAGAUGAAAAAUUACUACACAGGAGAAGGUGGGUUGGAGGUGCUCACGAGUAACCAGGAAACAGUCUGAAGUUUUUCUGAUACUUCUCCUUGGUCCAACCAAAUGUGAGAUAUAAACACAAACUUGGGAUUCCGUUCUUAUGUUUUGGUUGUUUCAGUCUUUACAGAUGUAUCGAAAGGCUGUCCAAAAAUGUCUGACUUCUGUAGUGUGCCUUCGUAGCACUAGAGGGUUCUGCAGCUGUGAAACUGAAGGCAUUGGCAAGAAGCCCUCCAUCUUCAAACCACUUUCUGCUAAGGUGUGGCUCUAUAAAACCACUAUGAGCUGGGCUUCACUGAGACUGAGUUGUUUCAGUAGGAUCUUCCGGAAAAACAUGUUCCCUCCUUUACCUGGGUUGUCAUUCUGAGAACAAUCACACCUCCAAUUUUGGCUUACUAAGCAAUAGCGUUUUAAUGAUUUUAAGCCAGGAUUUGCUCCUCCUUUCCUCAGUAUGAGAGCUUAACCACUGGAGGAACCAAGAAUUCAUGCUGGUUGGGUUCUGAUUCCACUUUAACUUACUGUAUAGCCUCAUCCCUUGUUUUUCUGGAGAUUCUCUUUUUCUGCUUCACUGAUUUAUAUUUACAUUAAAAUCAAAUGAGGCCAUGUUUCUGAAAUCACAUUGUCCCUACAUGGUCAUUACAAUGAGUCUGUAAUGUGACUGAAAGACAGCCAUGGAUACAGGUAGAGGAUAUCAGGCAAUUGAAUGCUCAUCAAGCAUUCAAUUCAGGGCAAAUGGCAUAAGGUAUGCAGUUGGCCUCUUCUGAUAUCUGUGUCUUAAUCCUUUCUUUAGCCUCUGUUUUCUGGACCAAGGCUAAGAUAUUUUCUGGGCACAGUGGCUCAUGCCUAUAAUCCCAGCACUCUGGGAGGCCAAGGUGGGAGGAUUUCUUCAGCCCAGGAGUUCGAGACCAGCCUGGGGAACAUAGGAGACCUCAUUCCUACAAAUAAUAAAAAAAAUUAGCCAGCUCUGGUGGCGUGUGCUUAUUGGUCUCAGCUACUUGGGAGGCUGAGGUGGGAGGACUGCUUGAGCCCAGAAGAUCGCAGCUGCAUUGAGCCAUGAUUGUGCCACUGAACCCUAGCCUGAGCAACAGAGCAAGGCCUUAUCUCAAAAAAAAAAAAAAAUUCUGAGCCUUCUAAUUUUUUUUUUCUUUAAUUAACUUUCUGUAAGCCCAGCAAGUAAAUAAAACACUUAUUUUAUGAAGCAUCUAGUUGCUUUUAGGGGAAGGGACAUCCUCCGCAUAGUAUCUAGGCCAGCUCACUUUCUUCUCCUUACUGUUGAUUUACUCUCUGCCAUUGAAUCUUCUGUGCCAAUGUUGGAUUAAUGUUUCCGGGCCCUACUUUCAUCAUGCUCCUCUGUAUUAUCACCUGUUUUGGUUUACAGCAAUGAUUUUUAAGGUAAGGCAUGGUGUGUCCAUCAUAGUCACAUGGGAACUUUUUCAAGCCAUAUUAAAAAUGUCCCCCAUUCAUCAUUCUGCCCCUGGAACAGUGUGUGCAGUUGGGACCUUCAAGUAAAUCUACUUUGUUGAAACCCACUGAUCAGCAUGGUGUAUUUCAUAACUCUUUGACUUACAUUCAAGAAAUUCCUUAACCUGAACUCCAUUUUACUCUUUUUUUCAUUCAUUCAAAUUAAGAAUAUUGCCUGAACAUGAAUUAUCUGCUAGACGUUUUUCUAGGUGCAGGAGGAGUAAGGAUGAACAUAACUAGCCAUAACUAUAGCUAUCAAUUGUGGAGUGUCUGUUAUGUGCCAGGCACUUUUAAGUGACCUACUCGAUUUACUUGCAUGACAAACUGUGAGGAAAAGCCCAAUAUUAUCCCCUAUUAACAGAUGAGGAAACUGAAGCACAAACAGCAUGAAUAGUUUGUUCCAGAUUGCAUCAUAAGAGGCACAGCCAGCUUUCCUACCAAAGCAGCCCUGGCCCAGAGUCCGUACUCCCUCCUCCCCUGCCUCUGCCUGGUGGAUAAGGUCACCCUGGCCUUGUGGAACUUAUGCUCUAGUGGGGACAAAUAGUUAUAGAGAAUGACCGAUGUUACUAAGAAAAUAAAAGCUGGUAAGAAAACAGAAGCACUGAGGAGGUGACUGAAGUGAGCAUUUAUAAUUUUAUGUUAUAUCCAUUGUAAAAUAUAAGUUUAGCUUUCUCAUACCAGAAGCAGGGCUCAGUCCACCCUUGACUCAGUUUCCAAUACUGUUCCCCAUCAGAAUGGCUCUUGCUGGUGGCCAGAAGUAAAACUUAGAAAUAUCUCUCUCAGAGACACCUAAGCAGGCUGGGCUCCCCGGUUUCCUGUUGCUUCCUUUAAAGAAGCUCUUCAGACAUCUGCACAAGAACUCAAAGUGACCACCUCUCAGCCCAGCAUGACCUACUGGAACUAAUGCCUGCUUGCUUUCAACCUACCAAUUAAAGCUCCCCAGGAAACCUGUUUAGAUAACACCCUGGACCCAAGAAAGGUGCUGGGCCAUGGGUUUCUUCUCUCUCUCCCUAUCUGUGCUCCCUGACCCCCUGUGUGUGUGUGGUCUCUAGGCUUGCCUUCUAUCCCUGAGGGUCUGUAAAUACUAAAAACACUUAAACUUUCAUAUUGUAGUUGUGUCUUUGAAGCCAGGUCCCCAUCCCGUACCUUGAGGGCAAGGCCUCCUGGAAGGGACCCAUGUAGGUGGAUCCCCUGCUGUCCAGGCCUCUUAGCUGCUGGGGUAGUGACCAGUUAAGUGGAUAGAGUUUCAUUCAAAACAAUAAUCAUUCAACUGUAUCUCACAUCAAACCUCUGCUCUAGUUUAUGUAUCUACUUUAUGUUCUUAGAAGACUGUGCAAACACAUUGUCUUUUUUGAGUACCUGUCUUGUCCUAGGUACUCUGCUUGGUACGGGGAGAGACGAAUCUUCUGUCUUCAGGGGCUUCCACUCCAGCAGGGAGAACAUGACUAAUAGUGACUGCCUGCUGCUGUAGGUAAUAAGUGGCUCCCACUAGGCCCUCCAUUUGGUGGCCCCCUGUCCCUCUCACUGGUGGAAGCCUACCUGUCCUCUAAGGACCAGCUCACUAAUGUCCUAGAUCCUCACGGACCAGAUUGCUUUUCUCAGAACUGAAGAGCACUUACUAAUGGCACCUCUUGUCAUAUGCCAUCCCAGGAUUUGAAUUUUUUUUUUUUUUCUGUCUUGUGGCCCAAAUAAAUCCUGAACUCCUCGAGGGCUGGGAGUGUAUCUAGCAGUUUCCUUAUACUGGACUAAUCAGAUGCUGACUAGGUAGCAGUGAGAAAAAUCUAGAAAUUCCCUUUUAGCCACAUCGACUUACACGAGGGGAUGUGUGUAAGGUACUAUAGCUCUUUAAACAAGAGGUGGUCUCGUUUGAAGGGUGGAUUGAUGUGGGUGUUCAAAUGAUGUCACAAGUGGCUGGUUUCUCUGUCUCCAUUUCUUUUUUUUUUGGCUCCAUUUCCAAAUUUCCCAGAUAGCACAGCAAGUUGGCCCCAGCAGCUCUAGACACUCCAUCUUCUCAGGGCAUAGCCAACACAAUAAAAUAUUUCAAGUUCCUGAAAGAUAGCUGAAAUAAGCCCUAGAAGUUUCUGGAUUGGGAGCAGAGCCAAACCUGCCAGCUCACAUAGAUGAGGGCAGGGAAUAGGGUGUCUCACGAUCACAGUGUCCUGCCUUCUGAUUUGCCUGGGACUGUCCUGUUUUGGCACCAAAAAUAUCUGCAUCCUAGGAAACCCUCAGGUCCUGGGCAAAUUCAGACAGUGACUUGCCCUAUCAGAAGCAAAGCAAGGUGCCAUUACCUGAGGUGGGCAAAUUCAGACAGUGACUUGCCCUAUCAGAAGCAAAGCAAGGUUGCCAUUACCUGAGGUGGGCAAAUGGAGGCUGGGUGGCCAGUGAGUGACCAAUAACCCCAGCAUUGGAGAGAGUGGAGCAGCCCUUCAAGAAGUUCCAACCUCUGCCCAGGACUGGUUUUACCAACUUCACUAGGCUUAGAAUCGUAGGAAGUCUAUUUGGGACUUGCGAGUCUCACGUAUUCCUGCCUAAAUGUUUAUGGAUACCUGUUUAGAGCUGAAAUCUUUUCAGCUCCCAUAAUAUGAGGGAAUUAGGUCUCAAAGAAGAUCAUGUAUUUUGAUCAGACCUUAUAGCUGAGCAGUGGAAAGAAAAAAAAUCAGUGUGAGAUCUCCCAGGGUUCCGCAGGAGUGGCUUCCUUAGUCCAACUGGCAGCCUAUCCUGGAAUAUUGCCUGGGAGAGAGGUUAGUUGCUUUUCCUGGUGCUAGGAACUGAAUGGUUUUACAUAUUGAUCAAUGAAAAUACUUAUUUGGCCUACAAUAGGUGCAAAAAUACUGCUAAUUACUAACAGUAUCUCUUCUUUGCUGCGUGCCAGACACUCCACUGGGCAUUAUGCAGUUAAUAUGUACCAUGAAUUUCCCGUGGUUAGCAAUGAUGUCAGGCAUAGAAAAGACAUGAAAUUAUGAUGUCAAAUGAAUAAACUGGAAAAAGGAAUUUCUUGAAUUUUCUCCAGCUGUCCUAAGAAUGUAUCUAUACUUUGAUCCUGGCCUACCUUUUCAACAUCUAAACUUUAUUCCCCCAAGCUUCUAGAUAUUCAAAGUUAAGUAUUAAAUAAAAUCAGUAAAUAUAUACAAGCUUGUUUGGCCAUUCUGAAUAAGGUUAUAUUUCCACCACACAAUCUCCAAAUUCUCUAGCAGAAGGGAUCAGUAUGUUAUAGAUACCCCCUUUCCUUCCCUCCCUGGCAAGCCACCACAUCUGUUAUGGGUACUCAAUGCAGUGGCUGCACCUGGGCCUCACUCAUUAAGCAGUUGUUGAUUGAGUGACUGAAUUGAAUGCCUGAUGAGCUCGCAAGUAAGAUUCAGACUGUGCCUGCAAACUAAUAGGAUCCCUCCGCUUUUUAUUCACUACUGCUGAGGUAGAUCUCAGGCCAGCCUGAAGUUUAGGUCUACUGAGAAAUAAUAAGCCUCAAAAAUCGAGCUUUGCUUCACCCAGUCUCCCAGUAAACACUAAGAAAUGUUCACAUUAUUUACACAUCCUAGACUGCCUGUCUUAUGGACCAAAUGUUUGUGUUCUCCCCGCAAUUUAUACAUUGGAAUCCUAACCCUCAAUGUAAUAGCAUUAGGUGCUGGGGUCUUUGGGAGGUGAUUGGCUAAUGGACCUGGAGCCCUCAUGAUGGGAUGAGUCCCCUUAUCAGAAGAGACCUGAGAAGGCUUGCUUCCUCUCCCUGUGCUCUUCAUGAUGUGAAGACACAAGAAGACAGCCAUCUGUGGGCCAGGAAGAGGUCCUCACUGGAACCCAACCAUGCUGGCACCCCAAUCUUGAAUUUCUAGCUUCAAGAACUUGGGAAAUAAAUGUAAGCCAGCCAGCUUAUGGAUUUGUUACAGCAGCCUAAGCUAAGUCAGAGUCUCUAGAACAGCUGGUCUGGGGCAGCGGUGAAGGGAGGUGGGUGGGCAUAUGACCCUGCCCUGCACAUGAAUGGCAAAGGCAACUGGAGAGCCUCUCCCUUUUGGUGAGAUCCCCAGUCCACAAGGGCAUGUUCAUCCAUAGCUUUACUUCCCGAAGCAAAUUCUGGUUCCUGGGGCCUGUGCCUCCAUAGAUGGCAUGAUCUGCAGCCUCCUGUGGUAAUUUACCCUCUUCCUAAAUUUCUGAGUCUUCACAUUUAAGCAAUCCUAGUUAGAUAUCCUCUACCUGUAUCCAUGGCUGUCUUUCAGUCACAUUACAGACUCAUUGUGAUGACCAUGUAGGGACAAUGUGAUUUCAGAAACAUGGCCUCAUUUGAUUUUAAUGUAAAUAUAAAUCAGUGAAGCAGAAAAAGAGAAUCUCCAGAAAAACAAGGGAUGAGGCUGUACAGCAAGUUAAAGUGGAAUCAGAACCCAACUGUAGUCCAUUAUUUGUUUCAAUCCUGCUCUUUUCUACCAUAUCACCCAGUUUCCAAAUCGUUCAGCAAAUUGCCAUGGUCAAUGGGAUUAACCUUUCCCUUUUAUUCUCAGGAAAUCUCCCUUGUCCAUUUUGCAAGACUGUGUGAUUCUUUCUACUGUUACAAGGAAUAAAAGCCUUCCUAAAAAGGUCUUUGGUGCCUUUAUUAUUUUACGGAUCAUUUCUGAGGGAAUUAUUGAACUUCAUUAUGUAACCACCCCUUGGGUUCACCUUGCCCACUGCCUAGACAGAGCCAAUUUAUCCAGACAGGAGAAUUGCAAUGGAGAAAGAGUAAUUC
rnacentral:lncRNA from 10 species